rnacentral:lncRNA from 1 species
UUUGCUAUCCAUUUGCUCCACCAAUGGUCUCGAUGUAUGCAUCUGCCUCUUAAUCUGUUGGAGCAGUUGCCGGUCACUGUCAACAUCCGCCAGGGUUGAUAAGAUGCGGAUUACCAGGGCUGCAUAGUCGUCAGCGGCCAGGCCACAGCUUGCAGUCAUCAGCAGCGCUGUGUCAGCCAGUUGGUCUGGCUGGGAUAGGGCUUCUGCCACUGCCGUCCUGAGCUCCUGUCUUAGGACAUCAGACAUGUCGUUCACGGCUGCUGAUUCUGAAGGAUGGCUCAAUUGGAGAUAUUGCAGUUGCUGAAUGUAAUUCUUAUCACGGAACCAGCUGAAGGUAUUCCUGAGUCCCUGGAGCAGUGCUUGAUGACAUGCCUGCAGUUUAGACAAGGUAAUAAGUUUGAUACUACUCGCUGGGUUGAUGCACAUUGGGUAUAUUACAGAGUCCACUGAAUGUUUUGGCUUUCUUGCAUCGGCUGCUCUGGCUUUCUUUCUUUGUUUGACCAACAGGCAACGCAUAAUAAAGCAAAGUGAAGUUUAUGAAAGGGCUAUGAAUUCUGGCGGUGUUUUAUGUGGAUGAGCAGCGAUGAUGAAAGGGUUGUGGAGUCACAAUAUGACUUAAGGUCAAUGAUAUUUU